rnacentral:rRNA from 1 species
GACGAACGCUGGCGGCGUGCCUAAUACAUGCAAGUCGAACGCUUCUUACUUAUCGAACUUCGGUUCACCAAGUAAGAGGAGUGGCGAACGGGUGAGUAACACGUGGGUAACCUGCCCAUCAGAGGGGGAUAACACUUGGAAACAGGUGCUAAUACCGCAUAAUUCUUUUUGUCGCAUGAUAGAAAGAUGAAAGGCGCUUUUGCGUCACUGAUGGAUGGACCCGCGGUGCAUUAGCUAGUUGGUAGGGUAAUGGCCUACCAAGGCAACGAUGCAUAGCCGACCUGAGAGGGUGAUCGGCCACACUGGGACUGAGACACGGCCCAGACUCCUACGGGAGGCAGCAGUAGGGAAUCUUCGGCAAUGGACGAAAGUCUGACCGAGCAACGCCGCGUGAGUGAAGAAGGUUUUCGGAUCGUAAAACUCUGUUGUUAGAGAAGAACAAGGAUGAGAGUAAAAAGUUCAUCCCUCGACGGUAUCUAACCAGAAAGCCACGGCUAACUACGUGCCAGCCGCCGCCGUAAGAC